AGGGGAUAUCUCCUUUCCUUUAUCAAUGGAGGUACUCGGCCAUACUGUGGGUUGAAAGAAACCUUAGACGCAAGUCGUCAAGAGUGUGGUGUGAGGGCGGGUUAAAUGCCCA
rfam:Bacillus sp. SA1-12 scf7180000003378, whole genome shotgun sequence.